rnacentral:rRNA from 1 species
AGAACGAAUGCUGGCGGCAUGCCUAAUACAUGCAAGUCGAACGAACUCUUCGGAGUUAGUGGCGCACGGGUGCGUAACGCGUGGGAAUCUGCCCUUGGGUUCGGAAUAACAGUUGGAAACGACUGCUAAUACCGGAUGAUGACGAAAGUCCAAAGAUUUAUCGCCCAGGGAUGAGCCCGCGUAGGAUUAGCUAGUUGGUGAGGUAAAGGCUCACCAAGGCGACGAUCCUUAGCUGGUCUGAGAGGAUGAUCAGCCACACUGGGACUGAGACACGGCCCAGACUCCUACGGGAGCAGCAGUAGGGAAUAUUGGACAAUGGGCGCAAGCCUAGAUCCAGCAAUGCCGCGUGAGUGAUGAAGGCCUUAGGGUUGUAAAGCUCUUUACCCGAGAUGAUAAUGACAGUAUCGGAG